AGAGAGUCUGCAGCCACGGAGAGAGGAGAAGAGGUAGAGAGAAGAGAGAAGGGGGAUCUCCGAGAGGGAGGCAGACGGAGAGCUGAAGGAAACAAAAUACUGUCUGAGAGGCACAGGAGCUUCAAAUAUCUGCUUCGUAUCCCCGGCAACCAUUUGGGAUAGAGAAGGCCCAGGAUUUACUCCAGUCAUCCGCUGAACUCAACCAAGUUCAAGUACAUAGACGACGCCUAAGCGAACCCAAGGCCUAAACAUAAGGAGGUGUCCAUAUGGAGGGAGUGGAAGGCUGGUUUCUGGAUACGCUUGAUAUGGAGAACUACAGUCAACUGACACUCUGACAGACACGAAGAGACAAAAUGGCUGCUCAACGGAUGUCAGUAGGUACAAGCUGCAGGACUUUUGGAGCUCUGGUGUUGGAGUGGUCAGGUCUCAUUGUGCUGGAUACAGAAAGCUGUGGAAUACUAGACCUUCUCACCUCUGUUGUGGAGGGAAGGUUGUUUUGCUUGGAUUUCUUUUUUUUUUUUUUUUUUUUUUUUUUUGGGGGAUGUAGUCUAAAUUGCCAAUGGUGGAUUUUAACCCAAAGAUGAAAAGCUGGAUUUUUCACCCAUUGUUUGCUGGUUUUACUGGCAACAACAAUGGAUGUGCAAUACAAUACUACCAGGUGAACCAUGCUGGAGAACCAGUCACAUGACACUGGAGAAUCUGUCCUGGAGCUCAAGGGAAAUUGGGUUUUUAUUGAUUGUUUUUAAAUUGUUUUUUUUUCUCAUGAAUAGGAGUGGAUUCAUGGCAGCCUAUUCUCCAUACUAUGGAUGCAUGGGUAGAAACCAAUGGUGUUGUAUUAAGGUCUGCUCCAGCCUGUUAAGGAUGCAGAAUAUAUUCACUUGGCAGCUGGUCUUGGACUAGAUGAUAAACAGUGACAAUACAAGACUGUAACAACCAGUACCUGGAACCUGACACGCGUGAUCCAAGUCCACAAUUACUCAAACAGUUACUAAAGUUGAACAGUGCCACAUACUGUCGACUGAAAAAAGAAAAUACAUAAAGGUAGAACAACAUGGGAAAAUCACUUGGUCCAAGGUUAGAACAACUCAAGGACUAGCAUUCACAACUGUGUCUUGCUGUGUUUGCUUUGGCACAACAAUUGCUUGUUGUAAAACAGCUUUUAAACAGUCAAACAACUUUUAGCCCCGUAGUAAAAUUAAUAAAGAAACGACCCAUAAGAGCUCUGCUAUACUGCUCUCCUUCCUUUAUCUCGUAGAAAUGCAGGGGGGUACAAUGCAGUACCAAGGAUCUGUUGGUACAAAAGUGUUUGGGCUAUUGCAUUCUCCAAGUGGCCAUGAUGAAAAAUGCUGAGCGGUUGAGUGGAGAGAAGAAACAAGACAUGAAAAAGUGGAGACGGUUCAUCUUUUGAAAACAAUGUUUUAGUUUGGCUGAGGGAGUAGGAAAUAUCACUGGAGGUGUCUGUAUGUCUGUAUGAUCGAAUGAAAAUAAUGGCAGCGACUAAACGUGCUCUACGUGAAUCCUCUUUUCAAAGAGCUACAGCGCGAUGCAUAUUCAUAAUGUCUGUCUCAAGUGGCCUUAUGACAGAGGCUUUUGUGUGUUUCUGGUGAGUGCUUUACCUAAAUCUCUGAAUAUUCAACGUUGCUUCAUCCUAAACCCUGGCUGAGGUUCAUGGUUGACUCCCACCCACACACACAGGGCCCUCCUCUGAGAGAUAACAUUGCACAGUGAUCUUCAUUAAAGACAUCAAAUCGGAAUUAGUAUUCAAUUAACAGGUCAGUCAGCCCUGGCUAAUCAGCCAAUUAGGGUGUUUUUUUGGAACAAAAGGCAACAAACAUGAGAGCUCCCUGGGGAGAAGAGGGAGGGAGCAGGCAGGAGAGGAGUGACAGAGUAACACAACAGUAUGUGACAGGGGAGCUCCAUGAAGGCUGGGCCUGGAGAGAUCUGUGGGGCUGGAAACAGAUGGAGGGUACAGGAGGGGCCUCGUGUCUGUGUGGGGCUCUGCAAGAGCAUGUGUGUGGCACUGUUACAAAUGAAAUGAAGUGAAUCAGUGAAACGAGGGGGAUGGGUGUCUUGGUGAGAGGGUUGAUAUUAGGGCUUCUGGAUUUGUGUGAGUGAGUG